UUUCAUCCCUAACCUUGAAUUGUUCAUAAAUUGUGAUUAUAGGAAGCAAAAAUUGGAACGGUGAAAUCAGAGUGAUCAAAAUAUAAAUCCGGGGCAGGAUGGGCAUUUCUCCAUCGAUCAACUGGUAUAUAUAAUAUAUAUAAUUAAAGGCAACUAGGGUUCUAAGAAACAAAGUUGCCAUAAGUUUUAAAAUGAGGCAGGAAGAGGCUGUGGGAGUUUCCGUGGAUCGUUUUGCCCCUUUUCCUGUGCCGGUGAUUUCUUUAUACAUCUGUAAAACGAUCCUCCGUUUUCUAUCUUCCUCUUUUUUUUUUCUCUUUUUUUCUCUUCUUUCCCUUCCAUUCCAACUUUUACACCCUUAAAAAAAGAGGCUGUGAUGAGUUGAAAUGUCGAAAAGUAGUCGAUUUCAAUUUGGUUUUUGGAGCAUUUCUGUUGGUGGGUGUAUUUCAUUUGGCUUGGCAGCAAUUUGGUUGAUUUGGGAUGGUUUUGGCAAUUAGCUAUGGUGAUUAAGUGAUUUGCUUUGCCGCCAUGGUACACUUUUUCCACCUUGUAAUGCUCACCAAAUUGUUUUGAUGAAAUUCAGAUCUGAGCCUCUUCUUUCAUAGGAAAAACCCAGAUACAGGUAGUGGAGAAACAACAACUGAUUAGUUUUCUUACUGGCUGGACAGCAGUGACGGAACCGUACUUGCUUUGCCGCCAUGGUAUCUCCUUUCUUUUCUCAUACUUGAUCUAAGGCAUGCUCAUUUUUGCAUAUCUCAAUGUUAUACUCCCACCUAACCAUUUUAGUUGAGUUGUCCCAUUUUCUUAUUUAGCAAAGUCGUUUUAGUUGUCAUAUUUUUUAUUUUUGUCAAUGUUUUUUUAACUAAAUAUCCUUAGUUGACACACGUAAUUACGAAUAUACCCCAUAUACCUUACUUACCCAACUACCCUUCGCUACUUACCUUUCACUGCUUACCCUUCACUAUUUACUCUUUUUAAUGGACCCCACACCAUCCUUAAUAACCGUGUCCAAGCAAAUGGGACAAGUAAAUUGGUUCGGAGUAAGUAUUGUUUUUAAUGGAAUGAAUGGUCUAGAAAGUGAAGAUACCUUGGGUUAACAAUUAUUGCAUUUACGGCCUGUUUGGUAAUCGUACUAAACGGUGGAAAUAAUAAUAAAAAGUUAAUGUAAUUCUCUGAGGAAUGCCUCUUGACAAAAUGCAUUAUCAUUUAAACAUAUGGUGUUAUGUAGCAGUGGAAAAUUGUGAAGAAAAUAACUUUUUUAUGAUUAAUUUUCAUUACCAUUGAAAUGAUACAUAUCGUGAAUAUUUACGCUACAAAUCAUGUCAUUUCCACCACUUAUUACCGAUUACCAAACAGAUCGUUAUAUGUUCAAGCAGCCUACAUCGAACAUUUUUAAUUGCUAAGCUCAGACUUCUUAAGAAGAGAAUAAUAAUUAUAAUCUCAUUAGUUUAAGAAUUGGAGAGUAUAUGACAUUCUAUGGGAUUUUUGAGGCUGUGAUGAUAAAAUUUUCUACUUUAGGUAGUAGUGUCUCAGGUAGUGGAGAAACAAGGAGUUUUAUCAUUGGCUAGGCAGCAGUAAAGGAGUUUUACUUGCUUUGCCGCCAUGGUACUAUUCUUUGUUUUUCAUACUUGAUCAAAGGCGAAUCUGAGCCUCUGUUAGCUAGCCUCUAAAUCAGUGAAGCAUAAUUCGCUAGUUAUUUCGUCUUUUGGAUUCUUAAUUCGCUCAAAAUGGAUUAAAAAUAGCCUAAAAACCGACCAUAAUUCGCUUUUUUCGAUUUGUGAUUCGCGAAUAGAUCUUUUGAUUAGAGGCUAUGAUGAAUGCAAAUCCUCCGUAUUAAUUUUGUUUAGAGCGUUUUAUGAGUUGGGCUUCGUUCUAUUUGGCUUGGCAGCAACUAUUUUGGUGUGUUUGGCAUGUGGGAAUAAGGAAUUCAAGGUUUAGGUUUAGGGUUUUGGGUUUUCAGUUUGAGUUUGUGUUUGUGUUUGUGUUUUUGUUAUUGUUGCUAUGCCGCCAAUGGUAGAGAAUUCCAUACCUUAAAAUGCUUGACAAAUUAAGAUAUGAUGAGCUGCAGAUCUGAGCCUUUUUAGUUUUGCCACUUCCACUACACAUUUUGGAGAUGCCUUUUCUUAACAAGGCAAGAUAAUUUUUGAUAUGUAAAUUUUUAUCAUUUCAAAAAAAUUAUUGAUGAAACGAAUUUCAAUUGUUGGUAAGAUGUUUUUGUUUGGCCAUGUGUUGUAAAUAUUAUUUUAAAUAAGAAAUCCACAUCAUUUUCGAGUUGGAGACAUUGUAUUUUUAAAAUUUUGUUUGAGGAAAAUCGAAAAUGCUCUGAACUAUUUAGAUGGAAAACAAAAGAGCUAAUAGGUGGAAGGCAACUCCUAAAAAUUGUAUUAUUAAUAUUAUUAAAAUUAGGUAUUACAUUGAUAAUUCUAUUAACAAUUAGUCUUUUGAGAGACCGUUCCUUUGAGAGACUGUUUCUUUGAGAGAUGUAUCUCAAGUCCAGCCCAUUAAAGAUUUAUAUCUGCUUACCGUAUUGUUAAUGCCUACAUAUAUUGUCCUUAAUGCUUAUCGUAUCAUUAAUGUUUACUUUUAAUA